AUGGCACAGACGGGGCCACUUAAUGACCCUUGGACCACAACCUAAACCACACUGUCAAGAAGUGUCCUUGUCCAUGUUUUCUGAGUGUCCUGUUCACUUUGUGACACACAGACGCAGCAUCAGUCUCAGCAGAAGAGGACAUGCCCUCAGACACAGCUCCCGCAGCAGAUGAAGACUCCUCUUCACCAGACACAGCAUCAGUCUCAGCAGAAGAGGACAUGCCCUCAGACACAGCUCCCGCAGCAGAUGAAGACUCCUCUUCACCAGGUGAGCUCUCUGCUGACAUCCAGGGGACCAGCCUCCUACUGUUGUGUCCUAUGGCACAGACGGGGCCACUUAAUGACCCUUGGACCACAACCUAAACCACACUGUCAAGAAGUGUCCUUGUCC